rnacentral:rRNA from 1 species
GAUGAACGCUAGCUACAGGCUUAACACAUGCAAGUCGAGGGGUAACGAGAGGAAGGCUUGCUUUCCUUGUCGACGACCGGCGCACGGGUGAGUAACGCGUAUCCAACCUGCCCCCAACUAGGGAAUAACCUUGCGAAAGUAAGACUAAUACCCUAUAAUUUCCUCAGAUGACAUCUGACGAGGAAUAAAGAUUUAUCGGUUGUGGAUGGGGAUGCGUCUGAUUAGCUUGUUGGCGGGGUAACGGCCCACCAAGGCAACGAUCAGUAGGGGUUCAGAGAGGAAGGUCCCCCACAUUGGAACUGGGACAACGUCCAAACUCCUAAGGGAGGCAGCAGUGAGGAAUAUUGGUCAAUGGGCGGAAGCCUGAACCAGCCAAGUAGCGUGCAGGAUGACGGCCCUAUGGGUUGUAAACUGCUUUUAUACAGGAAUAAAGUUAGCCACGUGUGGUUAUUUGUAGGUACUGUAUGAAUAAGGACCGGCUAAUUCCGUGCCAGCCGCCGCAGUAA